rnacentral:tRNA from 1 species
CAGAGAGGAGUAUAAUUACAUUAGUUUUGGAGACUAGAAAUUCGGCAGAGAGCCGGCUCUCUGA